rnacentral:rRNA from 1 species
GAUGAACGCUGGCGGCGUGCUUAACACAUGCAAGUCGAGCGAGUGAGUUCUUCGGAACGAUCUAGCGGCGGACGGGUGAGUAACACGUGGGCAACCUGCCUCAUAGAGGGGAAUAGCCUCCCGAAAGGGAGAUUAAUACCGCAUAGAAUUAUCGAGUGGCAUCACAUGAUAAUCAAAGGAGUAAUCCGCUAUGAGAUGGGCCCGCGGCGCAUUAGCUAGUUGGUGAGGUAACGGCUCACCAAGGGGACGAUGCGUAGCCGACCUGAGAGGGUGAUCGGCCACAUUGGGACUGAGACACGGCCCAGACUCCUACGGGAGGCAGCAGUGGGGAAUAUUGCACAAUGGGGGAAACCCUGAUGCAGCAACGCCGCGUGAGUGAUGAAGGUCUUCGGAUUGUAAAGCUCUGUCUUUGGGGACGAUAAUGACGGUACCCAAGGAGGAAGCCACGGCUAACUACGUGCCAGCCGCCGCGGUAA